rnacentral:siRNA from 1 species
GACACUUUUCUCUUUCCUCUCUAA